rnacentral:rRNA from 1 species
UACGGAGGAUGCGAGCGUUAUCCGGAUUCAUUGGGUUUAAAGGGUGCGUAGGCGGACUUAUAAGUCAGUGGUGAAAACCUGCAGCUUAACUGUAGACGUGCCAUUGAUACUGUUAGUCUUGAGUAUGGUCAAGGUAGGCGGAAUGUGUAAUGUAGCGGUGAAAUGCUUAGAUAUUACACAGAACACCGAUUGCGAAGGCAGCUUACUGGGCCAUUACUGACGCUGAUGCACGAAAGCGUGGGGAGCAAAAGGG